rnacentral:rRNA from 1 species
UACGGAGGGUGCAAGCGUUAAUCGGAAUUACUGGGCGUAAAGAGUGCGUAGGUGGUUGUUUAAGUUAUCUGUGAAAUCCCUGGGCUCAACCUGGGCAGGUCAGAUAAUACUGGACGACUCGAGUAUAGGAGAGGGUAGUGGAAUUUCCGGUGUAGCGGUGAAAUGCGUAGAGAUCGGAAGGAACACCAGUGGCGAAGGCGGCUACCUGGCCUGAUACUGACACUGAGGCACGAAAGCGUGGGGAGCAAACAGG